GACGAACGCUGGCGGCGUGCCUAAUACAUGCAAGUAGAACGCUGAAGGAGGAGCUUGCUUCUCUGGAUGAGUUGCGAACGGGUGAGUAACGCGUAGGUAACCUGCCUGGUAGCGGGGGAUAACUAUUGGAAACGAUAGCUAAUACCGCAUAAUAGCAGUUGUUGCAUGACAACUGUUUGAAAGGUGCAAUUGCACCACUACCAGAUGGACCUGCGUUGUAUUAGCUAGUUGGUGGGGUAACGGCUCACCAAGGCGACGAUACAUAGCCGACCGGAGAGGGGGAUCGGCCACACUGGGACUGAGACACGGCCCAGACUCCUACGGGAGGCAGCAGUAGGGAAUCUUCGGCAAUGGACGGAAGUCUGACCGAGCAACGCCGCGUGAGUGAAGAAGGUUUUCGGAUCGUAAAGCUCUGUUGUAAGAGAAGAACGAGUGUGAGAGUGGAAAGUUCACACUGUGACGGUAUCUUACCAGAAAGGGACGGCUAACUACGUG
rnacentral:rRNA from 1 species